rnacentral:rRNA from 1 species
AUUGAACGCUGGCGGCAGGCCUAACACAUGCAAGUCGAGCGAGCGGCGGACGGGUGAGUAAUGUAUGGGGACUGCCCGAUAGAGGGGGAUAACUACUGGAAACGGUAGCUAAUACCGCAUACUAUCGGAUAACCCAUAUGGGAUUAGCUAGUAGGUGCGGUAAUGGCUCACCUAGGCGACGAUCCCUAGCUGGUCUAAGAGGAGAAGCAGCCACACUGGGACGGGAACACGGCCCAGACUCCGACGGAGGCAGCAGUGGGGAAUAUUGAACAAUGGGCGCAAGCCUGAUGCAGCCAUGCCGCGUGUAUGAAGAAGGCCCUAGGGUUGUAAAGUACUGUCAGUCGGGAGGAGUUACCGACAGAAGAAGCACCGGCUAACGCCGUGCCAGCAGCCGCGGUAAUUC